UCCAAGCUUUUGAUGAUAUGAUGAGAAAGGACAGUAGAGCAAGGUGGGGUAACCACUUCGGAUGUGUUCUAUUUCCCUUCACCAUUGCAUUACGUGAAGAUCCAUUAGAUUAUAUACGUGUUGCUAAAGUUACUGGACACAGAAAAAAAUCUACUCUUGAAGCUAAAUUCACUUAUUCCAUGGUCAAGUUUUCUCCCAAAUGUUUCACUAAUAAGAUAUCGAGCUUUCGAAAUCGAAUCACUUUGUGGUUUUCAAAUGUACCUGGUCCAGAAGAAGAAAUAUCUUACUUUGGCCAUCCUG
rnacentral:misc_RNA from 1 species